rnacentral:lncRNA from 1 species
AAACAAACCAGGGAAGCACGAGGUAGCACAAGAGAACAUGAGUGUAACAAGAAUGAAGACCCGACAAAGAACACUGGGGCAGACAGGGAUAUAUACACACAGACACUAAACGAGGGAACAAGACACAGCUGGGGAAGAAAGGCAAAAACACAAGGGCAAGGUGAAUGGACACAGCAGAAACAAAUUAACACAGAGGGAGGAAAAAUCAGGAACAAACAUGGCUCAGUAGGCCAGGCUGGAGGCAGGCUCGGGAGGCCGGCGGAGAGGCCGGUGUGGAGGCCGGCGAAGCCGCUCGGGAGGUCGGGCUGGCGGCCGGCAGAGUCGGGGGGAACACUGGAACUGGGGUCUCGACAGUCGGGGGGGAACACUGGAACUGGGGUCUCGACAGUCGGGGGGAACACUGGAACUGGGGUCUCGACAGUCGGGGGGAACACGGGAACUGGGGUCUCGACAGUCGGGGGGGAACACUGGAACUGGGGUCUCGACAGUCGGGGGGAACACUGGAACUGGGGUCUCGACAGUCGGGGGGAACACUGGAACUGGGGUCUCGACAGUCGGGGGGAACACGGGAACUGGGGUCUCGACAGUCGGGGGGAACACGGGGGUCUCGAGAGUGAGGGGGAACACGGGGGUCUCGAGAGUGAGGGGGAACACGGGGGUCUCGAGAGUGAGGGGGAACACGGGGGUCUCGAGAGUGAGGGGGAACACGGGGGUCUCGAGAGUGAGGGGGAACACGGGGGUCUCGACAGUCGAGGGGAACGCAGGGACUGGGGUCUCGAGGGGCACGCAGGGACUGGGGUCUCGAAGUUGGGGUCUCAAAAGGCAGCAGGGGGACAGCUGGGGUCUCGAAAGGCAGCUAUGGAACCAGCAGGGGUCAGCAGAGUUCCGGCAGCAGCUGGAACUGGGGACUGCCGCGGCCUGGCAGCAGGAGGUGGAGCGGGAGGAUCGGCGGAGUUAGGCUGGCAAAGUGGGGAGUCUACAAAGUCCUGGAUCCAUUCGGGCAAAAGGUUCUUCAGCUAGGGCUUCUUAGCUACUUUCUCCUAAGCCAUACCUAGCUCAGUCUGUUCCAACAGAAUGCUCCAACACACCACAAAAGGAAUGACUAAAGUGUCUGCCAGAUAAAAAAAGCUCAUUGUCCAUGACGUCUACUGGGUCCAUAGCUGGUCGGUUCGUACUGUUGCGACUUGGUGAAAAGGUGGAUUCAAAUGCAGAUCGCCAGAUGAGGUUUAACAAAAGGAGAGCUUUAUUUAACAAAGCUAAUCAAAUACAAAACAAAGUAACAAGUAAAACUGAAAACACAAACCAGGGAAGACACAAGGUAGCACGAG